rnacentral:lncRNA from 1 species
UUUCUCUUUUCCUUUUUCACUUUACCUUUCUUUCAAAACUCAGACCAAACCAAGAAGGAAGGAACAAAGACAGAACGAAGAAGGGCAGACCCAUCAAUCUCCACUCCGACAACCCUCUCAUCUCCGGCGACCAUCUUCGUUCCGGCGAUCAUCUCCACUCUCUUCGUUCCCAGUUGUUUCAUUGUCUGUCCCUCUCAACUUGAACAGUGAGUUCAAUCGUUACUACUCAAUGUUCUUAUUCUUCUACUUAAUCGAUAUAAUCUUGUUGUCUGAAGAUGAAAAUCAACUUUGUUGUUUUUGGGAACUUGAAAUUUCAUGGGAACCGGUUGGAUUAUGCUUCUAUUGUGUUGGGGUUUAGUUACUUUUUUUGUCUUGCUUGUUGUUACUAGUUUUAGUAUCCUGUAUUUCUUUAUUGUCAUGGUUAUGUUCCUGUUUUGUUGUCUUGCAUUGUUUUAUUGUUGUGUGGUUUAAGUGAUUUUUUUCAUUUACCCAAAGUGAUUGUGUGGUUUAAGUGAUUUUGUCAUUGACAGAAAAAGAUAGAGAGAUAGAGAAGAUAAUGGUUUAAGUGAUNNNNNNNNNNNNNNNNNNNNNNNNNNNNNNNNNNNNNNNNNNNNNNNNNNNNNNNNNNNNNNNNNNNNNNNNGAUAUGGUUUGCAGGUUUUUGGUCCUUUAUCUGCAUUAUUCAUGGAAUGGUGGAAAACUUUAUAUUCUUAUGUUUUGAUUUUAAUUUAAUUCUUAUUGUGCUUGUUAGGGUUCUCUUUAAUUUCAUAUUUGAUCUUAAUUGAUGAUUUCCUUUUAAAAACAGGAUGGGUCGUGUAGAUAGCUGAAGGCUGUGUAGAUGAAGACCCCCUUAAUGUUUGUUAGUUAUUAAAUUAGUCAUUUUUUGCAUCACCCUGUUUAUGAUUAAUUGCAAAGGCAAUAGUAUAUAUUAAUGAAAUUUUAAUGAUUUAUUUUGUUCAUCAUAGGUUUAUGCCUCAUGAGAGUCAUCACUUUAUAAGCAAUUGUGAGAAUCAUCAUGCAGAUUAUGUGAUUUAAGUGUUCUGCAUAUUUUGACUAUUUGUCUCAUAAUGACAUGAAGAUAGAUACAUUUUUGUUUAUGUUUUGCAGCUUUGUUGGACUAUAGCUGUGGGAAUUAUAGUUGAGAUGAUUAUGACGUCGGUGGAGCAACUGGUUAAUCAAACUAUAUCUUAUUUGAUAAUGUGAUAGGAAUCAUUGAGAAUGUGAUAAUGUUAUUUCCUUGUGCAGGCUUGUAAUAUCUCAUUAAAGAUUGUCGACUUCCAACGCUCUAUCUUACAUGUAUUGUUAUAUGCUCAAGUUUAGCUUUUUUCAGGCUCUUGUUUAAUGCACGUCCAAACAUGAAUGCACACAUGCUUGUUUAUUUGAUGUUUCAUAAACAAGAAAAAAAUAAAUUAAGCAUGACAUUAAGAUCGACACAUUCAGAAUAAUUAUGAACUUUCUAUACUUGUAUUUAACUGUCAACAAUGAUGUUGACAUAUAACUUAAUGAAGGCAAAUACGGUGCUUCCCUCGUCAAUGUUUUAUUUUGGUGAUAUGCAUUACUAUUAGACAUAAUAUAUAUAUAUAUAUAUAUAUCUUGUCCCUUAGUUUAUCUCGAGUCACCUAUUUGUGUUCUACAUUUGUUUUGCUGAUGAAGAUUUCUUUGGAGCAGGAAGCUCUCUUUGGGAAAUUGAUACAGCUCAUCACCACUACUGUCCUCCUAUCUCACGGCAAGUGUUUUGAUCUUUAGCACAUUACUCCUUGUUUUCCUUUUCGCCAGUUCCGUGUUUGUGGAUUUUGACAUUCUUUUACUUGUACUUUUAGGUCCGCUUUGUUUCUUUAAACUGAUUUGAUUGUCAGGGCCAAAACAAGUGAUGUUGGUGAUUUUAGUGCUAGUUCUUAUGCAACAAUAGUUGGAGCAGAGGUGAAUUUCCUUUCUUUUUUUCUUUCUUUACAGUAAUCUGUCUACAUUUUUUGCAUAAUAAGAGAAGGGUUAAAAUUUGGCUCUGAUAUCUAUGAUUUUUGUUUCCAUCAAAUAUUUAUUUUUAGUCCACACAUUUGACAGAAAUAAUGCGUUUUUUUGUAUUGUUUUUCAUGUACAAUUUCUUUUUCAAUGCAUCAAAUUUAUUCAAUGUUGCAAAUUGAUAGAUGAUUAGUUUUAUUGCACUGAUAUUAAUGCCUUGUUGUCAUAAUUUACAUGUAUACAGUCAGACAUGUAUCUAAAUUCAACACAAAUAGCAAUGCUUAUUUUAUAGUAUGGCCUCCUAAGUAUUUUAUGAAAUGAAGGUAGCAUACAAGACUUAGGUGCUUUUGAGUUUGUAUCUAUGCAAUGUAUCUUACUGCCUUUCUCAAUUCUUCCUUUGGAUCUGUCUGUUCUUAAUAAAAUAAUGGUUAAUAGCAUAAAGCAAGUUUUCUUUUUAUGUACGAAAUGUUUGGCACAAAACUAAAGUUUCUCUUGUUUUAUGUUUAUGAAAGGCCGCAAAGUUGGGUAGAGUACUCACAGUGGACGGGGUCUUUGUAAGAACUCAAACCAGUGCAUAAGAGUCAUAUUGGGUUGAACAAGAUAUAAGUUGCGGGACUCAGAAGCUGCAUAUGGUAAGGGCUCCCAAACGAUCAACACGAUCGACCCUGAGACUCAUUUUAAGUUAUGUGCCUAAUCAUCUAGGGAAAAACUGUUAUGACUACAUAUUUUGUCCACAUUGUUAGUGUCUUAUCUGUUUAUUUUGAAACUUGUAAUAGUGUCAAUUUUUGUUAACACUACACUUUAGUUUGAGUAAGUG